UACGUAGGGUGCAAGCGUUGUCCGGAAUUAUUGGGCGUAAAGAGCUCGUAGGCGGCUUGUCACGUCGAUUGUGAAAGCCCGAGGCUUAACCUCGGGUCUGCAGUCGAUACGGGCUAGCUAGAGUGUGGUAGGGGAGAUCGGAAUUCCUGGUGUAGCGGUGAAAUGCGCAGAUAUCAGGAGGAACACCGGUGGCGAAGGCGGAUCUCUGGGCCAUUACUGACGCUGAGGAGCGAAAGCGUGGGGAGCAAACAGG
rnacentral:rRNA from 1 species